rfam:Oryza barthii chromosome 9, whole genome shotgun sequence.
AAAAAGACAAACCCUGGGUUUCUGUGUCCAACGUUUGACUGUCCGUCUUAUAUGAAUUUUUUUUAUAAUUAGUAUUUUCAUUGUUGUUAGAUGAUAAAACAUGAUUAAUAUUUUACGCGUGACUUAUCUUUUUAAAUUUUUUUCAUAAUUUUUUCAAAUAAGACGGACGGUCAAACGUUGGGCAUGGAAACACAUGAUUUAUCUUUUU